CGUCCCUUCUCUCCAUCCUUGUCUUUUGCCUACCCAUGUUUCCUCGGCAGGCUUGCCUGCCGGUUGGACAAAACUAUAACCUUUUUAAUUUUUAAUCAGCGUCUGAAAAACUUAAUAAUUACAACUUUCAACAACGGAUCUCUUGGUUCUGGCAUCGAUGAAGAACGCAGCGAAAUGCGAUAAGUAGUGUGAAUUGCAGAAUUCAGUGAAUCAUCGAAUCUUUGAACGCACAUUGCGCCCCUUGGUAUUCCAUGGGGCAUGCCUGUUCGAGCGUCAUUUGUACCCUCAAGCUCUGCUUGGUGUUGGGUGUUUGUCCUCUCCUUUGCGAUUGGACUCGCCUUAAAAUAAUUGGCAGCCAGUGUUUUGGUAUUGAAGCGCAGCACAAUUUGCGAUUCUGUCCGGUAAUACUGGCGUCCAUAAGCCUAUUUUACACUUUUGACCUCGGAUCAGGUAGGGAUACCCGCUGAACUUAAGCAUAUCAAUAAGCGGAGGAAAAGAAACCAACAGGGAUUGCCCUAGUAACGGCGAGUGAAGCGGCAACAGCUCAAAUUUGAAAUCUGGCUCUUUCAGAGUCCGAGUUGUAAUUUGCAGAGGGCGCUUUGGUGUUGGCAGCGGUCUAAGUUCUUUGGAACAGGACGUCACAGAGGGUGAGAAUCCCGUACGUGUCGCUAG
rnacentral:rRNA from 1 species